CAAAUCUUCUGUUUCUUCAUCUGGGAAAUCGCCUUUUGUCAUUUUCUCAUACAGCUUUGCUUUCUCUUCAAGUUUCUUCCUUGAUUGAUCUAAGGUUUGAUCCUCUUCUGCCUUCUGCUCAAUGUCUUUCUCAGCUCGUUUUGCAACUCCUGUGUUUUGUUUGGUCCAGAUGCUUGGUUUCUUAUUGGAGGGUUUGGGCUUUGCAAAGAUGCCGGCAUCUUUCAGUAGCUUUUCUUUCUUGAAUUCUUCUUGUUUGCGGAAGAGCUCAGCUUUGAGAUCUACCAACGAGGAGGCGGCCACGUCCAGCGGCUUCUUCCUCCUGUCCAUGGCGCCCUGAGCUCCCCGGCAACCUCCCACCGGCCGCUU
rnacentral:lncRNA from 1 species